GUGGGGGUGGGCGGAGGGGGAAGAGAGAGUGUGUUUUGACUUGGAGGUUUCACUUUUUUUGGAGCAGUGUGGGGUGACGUCUAAGACUCUAACUCGUGCGGUGGUCAUACAUGAUUUGAUGACUUUUUGGACUCUGAUCCCCUGCAGCUGAUUUGGUUUUGGAAAGAUUGGAAUAUACGGUCAGGAUUCAGAUCCAUGAAUCUCUCUUCUGGGUUUUACUGAAAUUAAUUAGUAGCUGAGCUUAAAUGUUUUUUUUUUUUUGGAGGUAAUAAUUACUUUAUGGCGGUUAACUUAUUUAGAUGUAAAUCUUUUUGUUACAACUUACAAGUAAACAAUUCUUUUUUUAGGGUAAAAUCAAGUAAACAAUUCUUAAUUCUGGCACUGGCACAUAUUGGUUUUACAUAAGAGUAAUGUUAGGGAUACUAAGUUAAAUUUUGUAAACUAAAUGACAUAGAAGUUAUUGAUUACAUUAUUACUUAAGCAUUGAUUAACAUGUUUAUUUUUUAUUGAUGACAUAUAAUUUAAUUUACAAAUUUAGUUAUCCUAACAUUUUCUCAAUAAAAAAUGUAAAUCAUACGAAGUUAAUUGAGACCCGUGUUUUGGUUCUAUCGGUUUUCCACAUGCUAAUCGUAUUUUAUCAAUAGAAAAUAAAAAGGAAAACUAAUGAAAAUGGCUUGAAAACUUUGAGUUUUAACGAUAAGGACAAAAUAAAGGGUAAAGUGAAUAGUACCAGAAUUGACUUUUUAGUGUAAAAAUGUGAUUUUUCGUUAAAGUGAACAGUACCGAGAGCUUUUUGUUAAAAUUCCCAAAAUAAAAAGCAUAUAAGCUUGAGCAACAUAAUUAAUUAUUUGGGGGUAGGACGAAAAAUGCGACGGAAUUACUUAUGGGUUGGUUUAAGUGACUAGAGAAGAUGAAAAAUGAGUUUUCAAGUGCGAUACAUUAAGAGAUAUCAGCAUCAUAAGUGAAAGCGAAGAAACAAACAAUCUCAAAAUAAAAACACAUCAGAUUAACGUGGUUCAGUGUAAAAGCAUGUAUAAUGAUGAGGUCGAUAAUCUCAAGUUGUUUCUAUAGAUAACAUGUGAAUAUGUAUCAUCAUUUUGAACAUAAGUUAAUAAUGAAAUGAUACCUUACGGACAUUUCGUAUAUUAACUAAUUAGUUUAAUCUAAGGAUAAAAAUAUUAUUUAAAGUCGUCUCAUUACAUGUUAUAUGCUGAAGCCGUCUCAUUAAAUGUUAUACACUUAAACAAUAAGUCCAAUGAAUAUGUAACUAAGAGAAUAUAAUCUAAAAAAGUUAAAUUCAUGAGGCAUUUCUCAUUCAUACAGAUAUCUUAAAUGUUCCUAAUCAUAGAUUGACUCUCACCAAACAAAUGGAGAUGAAAAAUGAGUGUCUUAACUCUCAUCACCCAAAUCUCACAAAUUACAACCCUAAACCCAAGGAAGAAAAUAUCGGUAAUAUCGGAAAUAUCGGUAGUCCGAAAACACGGAAAUAUCGAUGGAAAUAUCGGUAAAAUAUCGAUAUCGAUAAAAAUUACAUGGAAACCACGGAAAUUGUAAGAAAACUUGGAAAUUUUAAUUGAAACUUUGCAAGAUGUUUAUUUAGUCAAUUAUCUAUUAGUUUAUCAUAAAAAAUUGGAAGGAAAUGCAUUGCAUGAUGGAUUUAACAUUAUCAAGUUGAUUAUAUAGCGAGCUGACAAACAUUGUGAGUAUAGAAAAUAUGUAGUAAUUAAUGAAAGAAGUUUAAACACACCAUAAUCAUUUAUAUAUAAUGAAUUAUGUACCAUUCAAACAACGAGGAGUGUGCCAAUGCUCUUAAUCAGGUUGGAUAGACCUGAAGUCGUUGCUAGAGAUGUGAUUUAGGUAUAAAGUUACUUAGCAUUGUAUCGCAUUCAUCCAAACAACUAACUUUCUCAUGUUCGUACCUAAUCACAUGUUCAAUUGAUUUUGGUCAAAUGUUUAGGAAACAUGAUUCAAUUAACUCAUAUUCGAGGACAAAAAAUCAUUAGUGUGAACAUAGAAAAGAAGAAAUUCUUGGAUAGUUGGACUAUCAAAACUUGUUUACCAAGUAAAUGGCAAGAGAAAGGUUAUAUAAAGUUUCGAACAAGCAAUCCUAAGAUUUUAUUCUUCGUCAUAAUUAUAAGCCACUUUGUGAAACCCCACCCCAAAAGAUUUUGUAAAUUCGCAUUUUUCCCCCCAAAAGGUUUAUUAAAUUUUGCAUUUUAGUCCCCUAUCUUCAUCCAAUCAAAAUCUCAUUUUCAGAUUUUCUAAACCUGUCCUCCUAUCAUUGCUUGCCACGUGGCAAGCACUCACCUAUCUCUCUCUUCUCCCCGUACCAACUCUCAUUUCUCUCUCUCAAGUCUCAGCUAACUCACAUCUCUCUCUCGCCGAUCGAACCCACACCCACACAUCGAGGUACCAGAGCCACCCCGACGACGGCGCAGCAGCACCACCACACGCACAGAGACUCUCAAAACUCUCAUCUCUCUCCGUCCUUUCUCUCUGCAGUCUGCACCCAGAGUCCGAGAGUCCGAGAUUCACACAUGCUUCAGGAAUACACCCACCUCGGCUUUCUCCCUCUCCUUCUCGUCUCUGCAACUCGGCGAACGCAGGAACCCUCCGACGAGUUUCUUGAAUUUCUCCGGUUAGGUAAGCUUCGGGUUUACCUCUUUCUGUUGAAUCUGUUAUAGAUUGAAGCUUAGAUGUGAAAUUGAAGUUCUAUCUCGUGUUUUUGCAAGGUUUUUGGAUGAAAUCGGCUCGGGAAUAGGCACACCCAUCUCCGGCCUUCUUCUCCAAUGUGCACAGAUCCGAAAUUUUACGAAAAUAUCGAUAAUAUCGAUAAUAUCGCGAUAUUUUCGAUAUUUUCGAUAAUAUCGCGAUAUUAUCACGAAAACCAUUUGGAUAGUGAUAAAAAUAUCGGUCUCUUUAAAAACCGAUAAUAUCGGCGAAAUAUCGCCGAUAUUAUCGAUUUUUUCUUCCAUGCCUAAACCAAACAAGUAGAGAAUCCAAACAAACAGAGUAUUCUCUCCCAAAUUGAUCUCUAACUCUCAAACUCACAAAUUGUCAAAUGAAUGAGCCAUGAAUUUGCCAUACUCAUGACUCCAAACCCUAAACUAAUGGAGAGACACACAAAAUUAACUAAUGGCGAGGCACACAAAAUAAACUAACCCAGUUGGAUCAAUGACUCAAAGAUGGCAUGAUUAAGCAAAUAAUUGCUUACUCAAGUGAGGCGUGGUGUGAAAGCUAGAAGUUUAUCAGUUUAGCAUGAGAGAGAGAGAAAAAGAGAGAGAGAGAGAGAGUUUGCAUGGAUACAUGAUAUUCUUGGUUGGGUAAUCUGGACUUCCUAGGGUAAUAACAAUGCUUCUAAUGGCCGGGAUGAUAAGAGGGAGGUUAUGGAAAACACUAAGGUUGCAGGGGUGAUGCUUCCUGAGUUUUGAGGCUGCUUACAAUUAGGGAGAUACUUCCUUAGCUUGGUGCAGUACAAUCCUUAAUUCUGUCUAACGUUCUAUCUCUCUCUGGCCUCAUCAUCAAAGGUCCCUAACCUCCCCUUUGUAGGUGAAUGAUUCUUUUCUAGCUUCCUAAGGAAUUUCUAGUUGUGGCUAAGUCCCCCCCCCCUCUUUCUUCUAGUGUAGCUACAACCUUCCCUUUUAGUGUAAAAUAGAUGAGUGUCGCUAGCCUUGUGAUGUCUUUGCUACGCCUUCUUCUCGAGGCGCUACUUUCCCGGUUCAGCUUCCACAAACGUUACUUAUGAUAACUCGUCUCUUGGCUUUCAUUCGCCAUUCUUUUGCGUGAGUUAGGAAGGGAAGCCAACCUCUCUUCAUUAAAUGCAUGCUCCGUUAUGUGACUUACUUAAUUAGGGUUUGGUGCCUUCCUAACUAGAUUGGUUGGCUUGCUAGGGAAAGAAGGAAACUAGGUUUGCACGCUCUCAAACCUACCCACGUGGACUUCAAAGCUUAUGGGCUUGAAUCUUUCAGCCCACAAGCAGUCCAAAGUCUUCCUUCCAUAAUAUUGACUUUGUGUAGACCCGAUAAACUUC
rnacentral:lncRNA from 1 species